GACGAACGCUGGCGGCGUGCUUAACACAUGCAAGUCGAACGGAAAGGCCCUGCUUUUGUGGGGUGCUCGAGUGGCGAACGGGUGAGUAACACGUGAGUAACCUGCCCUUGACUUUGGGAUAACUUCAGGAAACUGGGGCUAAUACCGGAUAGGAGCUCCUGCUGCAUGGUGGGGGUUGGAAAGUUUCGGCGGUUGGGGAUGGACUCGCGGCUUAUCAGCUUGUUGGUGGGGUAGUGGCUUACCAAGGCUUUGACGGGUAGCCGGCCUGAGAGGGUGACCGGCCACAUUGGUACUGAGAUACGGCCCAGACUCCUACGGGAGGCAGCAGUGGGGAAUCUUGCACAGUGGGCGGAAGCCUGAUGCAGCAACGCCGCGUGCGGGAUGACGGCCUUCGGGUUGUAAACCGCUUUCGCCUGUGACGAAGCGUGAGUGACGGUAAUGGGUAAAGAAGCACCGGCUAACUACGUG
rnacentral:rRNA from 1 species